ACUCCUACGGGAGGCAGCAGUGGGGAAUAUUGCACAAUGGGGAAACCCUGAUGCAGCCAUGCCGCGUGUGUGAAGAAGGCCUUCGGUUGUAAAGCACUUUCAGUAGGGAGGAAGGUAGUGUAGUUAACACCUGCACUAUUUGACGUUACCUACAGAAGAAGCACCGGCUAACUCCGUGCCAGCAGCCGCGGUAAUACGGAGGGGUGCGAGCGUUAAUCGGAAUUACUGGGCGUAAAGCGCAUGCAGGCGGCCUGUUAAGUCAGAUGUGAAAGCCCGGGGGCUUAACCUCGGAAUUGCAUUUGAAACUGGCAGGCUAGAGUCUUGUAGAGGGGGUAGGAAUUUCAGGUGUAGCGGUGAAAUGCGUAGAGAUCUGAAGGAAUACCAGUGGCGAAGGCGGCCCCCUGGACAAAGACUGACGCUCAGAUGCGAAAGCGUGGGGAGGCAAACAGGAUUAGAUACCCUGGUAGCACAGAG
rnacentral:rRNA from 1 species